AUUGAACGCUGGCGGCAGGCUUAACACAUGCAAGUCGAGCGGGGUGAUGGUGCUUGCACUAUCACUUAGCGGCGGACGGGUGAGUAAUGCUUAGGAAUCUGCCUAUUAGUGGGGGACAACAUCUCGAAAGGGAUGCUAAUACCGCAUACGUCCUACGGGAGAAAGCAGGGGAUCACUUGUGACCUUGCGCUAAUAGAUGAGCCUAAGUCGGAUUAGCUAGUUGGUGGGGUAAAGGCCUACCAAGGCGACGAUCUGUAGCGGGUCUGAGAGGAUGACCCGCCACACUGGGACUGAGACACGGCCCAGACUCCUACGGGAGGCAGCAGUGGAGAAUAUUGGACAAUGGGGGGAACCCUGAUCCAGCCAUGCCGCGUGUGUGAAGAAGGCCUUAUGGUUGUAAAGCACUUUAAGCGAGGAGGAGACUCUUUUGGUUAAUACCCAAGAUGAGUGGACGUUACUCGCAGAAUAAGCACCGGCUAACUCUGUGCCAGCAGCCGCCGUAA
rnacentral:rRNA from 1 species